UGCCCGCGCAUCACACACACACACAACAGAGGGACAGGGAGAGACAUCAGUGUUUUUUUCCCGUCAGUCAGCUCACCUGCUUGUUGUAGAUGUUGAAGUAGAUGUUGAAGAGGUACCAGAGCCCGAAAAGCGCCCCCAGCUGCAGCGUCUUGGCGAGCCCUCCCCCAGCUUCCUCUCCGGCCGACGCCGCCGCGUGCAUACUGGCCCUGCAUCUCCGGUUCUCCUUCUCCUCCAGCGGCGAGGCCGGCACGAGACCGGGGCGGGCGGAGAGGCGGAUGCCGCGGGGCGUGAUGAGCGGCUGGGUGCCGCCGCUGCACGCGCCGGCGCCGCGGCGUGGGCUAGUGUAGGCGGCGAGCGGCCGCGCGGCACAUGGCCGUAGGAGCCCGAUGGCAGCCGCGCUCUGCAUUGCCCGUCUCGGGGAGCCGCGGCCUCGCCACCGAAGAGUGGAUGGUGCUCUGGAAGAGGCGCGCGGAGGGCUCGAGGCGGCGGAGAUCACGAGGUUUCCACCGGCUCGGCGAGGCCUGGCGCUGGCGAGAUUUGGAGUUAGGUAGGGGCUUUAUGCAGCGACGAGGCCGCCGCGCUGAGCUUGUGGGGCCGUUUGGCAGUGGGCGGAUGGAUCCGACGUGGGCUUGGGCCGUGUCGCCGCGACAUGGAGCGCAACGAACAGCUGUCGUUGCCAAACAAGCCGUGCGAGCCCCACCGGUCGGCGUCGGAUUCACCUCCGUG
rnacentral:misc_RNA from 1 species